rnacentral:lncRNA from 10 species
GUUUUAGAAGCUGAGAAGUCGAAGGUCUUUGAACCUGCAUCAGAGUUCCCUCUGUCGACCAGGCUGGAGUGCAGUGGCGAGAUCUCGGCUCACUGGAACCUCCACCUCCCAUGUUCAAGGGUUCAAGGGAUUCUCCUGCCUCAGCCUCUGGAUUAGCUGGGACUACAGGCACCUGCCGCCACACCCGGCUGAUUUUUCGUAUUUUAAGUAGAGAUGGGGUUUCACCAUGUUAGCCAGAUGGUCUCCAUCUCCUGACCUCAUGACCCACCCGCCUUGGCCUCCCUAAGUGUUGGGAUUACAGAUGUGAGCCACUGCGCCUGGCCUCAUCUGGUCUUUGAUAGCCUCACUCAUGAACCUGUGGUCAGCUACGUGGUCUCUGAUAUAAUGAAAAAUAUAAAACAAGUUUAUGUUCAUUUUAUGUGAAUUUUUAUAACACCUUUAUUGAAAUACAAUUCAUAUAACAUUCGCUUUAUCCAUUUAAAGUAACAUUUAAUGGACUGUAGCAUAAUUGAUUGUAGUGCAAUCAUCACCAUAAUUUUUAAAAAUUUUUGUAAUUUCAAAAAGAAGCCUCAUAUAAAUUUAGUAGUAUCUUCCCAUUUCCCCCCAAUUCUCCAGCCAAAGCAACUAUUUAUCUAUUCUUUAUUUCAAUAGAUUUUUCUCUUUUGGAUAAUCUUUGUAAAUGGGAAUUACACAAGAAAAUGCUGAGAGAUUUUGUCACCACCAGGCCUGCCCUACAAGAGCUCCUAAAGGAAGCACUAAACAUGGAAAGGAACAACCAGUACCAGCCACUACAAAAACAUGCCAAAUUGUAAAGACCAUCAAGGCUAGAAAGAAACUGCAUCAACUAAUGAGCAAAAUAACCAGAUAACAUCAUAAUAACAGGAUCAAAUUCACACAUAACAAUAUUAACCUUAAAUGUAAAUGGGCUAAAUGCUCCAAUUAAAAGACACAGACUGGCAAAUCGGAUAAACAGUCAAGACCUAUCAAUGUGCUGUAUUCAGGAAACCCAUCUCACGUGCAGAGACACACAUAGGCUCAAAAUAAAGGGAUGGAGGAAGAUCCACCAAGCAAAUGGAAAACAAAAAAAUGCAGGGGUUGCAAUCCUAGUCUCUGAUAAAACAAACCUUAAGCCAACAAACAUCAAAAGAGACAAAGAAGGCCAUUACAUAAUGGUAAAGGGAUCAAUUCAACAAGAAGAGCUAACUAUCCUAAAUAUAUAUGCACCCAAUAUGGGAAUUAUACAAUAUAUGUUUUAUGUGUGAUCAGCUUAUUUCACUUAGCAUAAUGUUUUCAAGGUUCAUCCACGUUGAAGAAUGAAUUACUACUUUAUAUUUUUAUUGCUGAAUAAAAUUGUACUAUAAUUAUGUACCAUAUUUUAUUCACCCAUUCAUCUGUUGAUAGAUAUUUGGGUUUAAUGUUACAAUUAACAUUCACGUACAAGUUUUUGUAUAAAUAUAUGUUUGCAUUUCUUUGGGGUAUAUAUCUAGAAAUGAAUUUACUGGGUGAUAUAAUAAGUUUAAGUUUAAAUUUUUGAUGAACAGCUGGACUAAUUUUAAAAAUGGCUGCAUAAUUUUACAUGCUGAUCAGAAAAGUCCGAGGCUUACAAUUUCUUCAAAUUCUUGCCAACACUUUUUUUAUUAUUAUUAUAGCUACUUUAGUGGGUGUGAAGUUGUAUCUUAUGGUGGUUUUGAUUUGCAUUUUCCUGAUGGAUAAGGUUAUUGAUCCUCUUUUCAUGGGCUUAUUGGACACUUGUAUGUCUUAUUUGGAGAAACA